rnacentral:rRNA from 1 species
AACGAACGCUGGCGGCGUGCUUAACACAUGCAAGUCGAACGCGAAAGGGGUCUUCGGACCCCCGGUAGAGUGGCGCACGGGUGAGUAACGCGUAGAUAAUCUACCCCUAUAUUUGGGAUAACAACUCGAAAGGGUUGCUAAUACCGGAUACACUUAUUGAGAUGCAAGUUUUAAUGAGGAAAGGUGACCUCUCCAUGGAAGUUACUGUAUAGGGAUGAGUCUGCGUACCAUUAGCUAGUAGGUAGGGUAAAGGCCUACCUAGGCGACGAUGGUUAGCGGGUCUGAGAGGAUGAUCCGCCACACUGGAACUGGAACACGGACCAGACUCCUACGGGUGGCAG